rnacentral:lncRNA from 1 species
UUUAAGAUAAGGGUAGUAAAAGCACUUAAAUGAAUAACAUACCUUUAAUUUAUUCAACCUCAUGCCUUAAAUCCAUUAAAUAUAUUUCAUUAGACAUGUCUCUAAACUAGAGAUUAAUAAAAAUAAUCAAAAGUGAUUGAUAUAUUCUUUUUGACAAAUUCUUCACACUAAAUAUUGGACAAAAACAUCUAAUCUUGUAAAAGCUCACAAUAUUAGACUGAAAUUGUAAUCUUCAAUUCAUCAUAAAGCACAGUUGUCCUGCAGCAUUCUACUACCAUGAAAUUGAGAACUAAGAUUUAAUGUUUAUGAGAAGUCAGGGUAGUUUUAGACAUGCUAGCCCUCCAACCUUUUUCAUUUUCCCUAGCCACCAGUACUCAAUUCCCUUCAUAUACCUAGGAAGGGACAAAUAUUUUUUAGAGAUAAAUUAUAAGCACAUUAUAAUCCUAGUUGAAUGGAUUGACCAAAAAACUGUAAUACAUGAAAUGUUCAUUUCAAACAUGUAAAAGUACCCUUAUUCAAAGUUCAGGCAGCAGUACAUUUAUGAAGCAUUUUUCCAAAUAAAGACUACUAGGACCAAAGAAAAGGGUCUAUAAGUGAGUAAGAUCAAAUUCUCAAAUAAAAGAUAUAACUUUUAUAAUAAUUUUUUUAAUUUAAUAAAUAUCAUCCAGGUAGUUUCUACUUUCUACUCAAUUAAACUUAACAGUUUAACAAACAAAAAAGAAAUAUUUUAAAAAACCCAAAAAGAAAUCAAUAAAAAGAAACCAGAUUUAACAAACAAACACCUCAAUUAAUAGCAUCACACUUGAAGGAAAAAGGGGUUCCAGCAAUGACGUGAGCAACGACAAUGAAGAAGGUGCAUGAGUGAAGUGAUCGGACGGUGAAGGUGCGCCACUGCGUUGGGUUACUGUGGUCAGUGGUGAUUGGUGGCUGUCGGCACUCGGUAAUAGGGAGAUUUCAGAGGAAGCUAGAUAUUUGAGGAGAUGAGUGAUGACGAUGAAGAUAAAUGGGAAUGAGAUAACUGAUUAGUGAUUAGGGUUCUAGGAUUGGGGAUCUUUUUUGUUUUAGGUUAGAGAUUUUUGGGUUGGAUUAAGGUUAAUGGGGUAG